rnacentral:pre_miRNA from 12 species
GAUCCUGGGAUGCAUUUUGUGCAGUUAUGUCUACGUGAUCAUCCUCAUCACUGGGCAAAGUGUGUCUCAGGAU